AUUUUUUAUAGUUCUUUCCUAACUAGUUUUAUUAUUAAGAAUUUGGUAGUAUAGUUUAAUAUCUGGUAUAGUGAUGCCACCUGCUUCACUCUUCCUGCUAAGAAUUGUGUUAGCUAUUCUGGGUCUCUUAUUUUUCCAAAUAAAUUUCAUGACUGCUUUUUCUAUUUCUAUGAGGAAUGCCACUGGAAUUUUGAUCAGAAUUGCAUUAAAUCUGUAUAGUGCUUUUGGUAGUAUGGUCAUUUUGAUAAUAUUAAUUCUGCUUAUCCAAGAGUAAGGUGGAUAAUAAAGGCCUUUCCAAUGUCUGAAUUAACAGAUCUUUCCAUCCUCUAAGGUCUUCUUUGAUUUCUUUCUUUAGGGUUCUGUAAUUUUCAUUAUAUAGAUCUUUCACCUCUUUUAUUGAUUCCCAAGUUUGUUUGUUUGUUUGAGGCUAUCGUAAAUGGGGUAGUUCGUUUCCUUUUCUAAGGAUUUGUCACUGAUAAACAGAAAUGCAUUUGAUUUAUGGGUAUUGAUUUUAUAUCCUGCUAGUUUGCUGAAUGCAUUUACUAGCUCUAGAAGUUUUCUGAUGGAACUUUUAGGGUCUUCUAGGUAUAGAAUCAUAUCAUCAGCAAAUAGUGCCAAUUUGAGUUAUGUGGCAUAUAUACACAAUAGAAUAUUACUCAGCAAUAAGAGAAUAAAAUCAUGGCACUUGCAGGUAAAUGUAUGGAGUUAGAGAAGAUGAUGCUGAGUGAAGUUAGCCAAUCCCAAAAACCCAAAUGCCAAAUAUUUUCUCUGAUAUAAGGAGGCUUAUUCAUAGUGGGGUAGGGAGGAGGAUCAUGGGAGGAAUAGACAAACUCUAGAUAGGGC
rnacentral:lncRNA from 1 species